CAAAUAAACAUCUGUCAGUCACAAAAGAACAACGGUGGCAUCUAAUUCCUGGAGGGAGUGAUAGCGUAUAUUAACUGUUAUCAUACAACAGCACAGUGGAUCACUGGAACCCACGCUGGACCUGACACAGACAGGUGCUCAUCUCCCAGCUGUCUCUGAUCCUGCAUCAAUGGCCCAGCUCAACCCAGUCUCCGAACAGGUGUUGGGACACAUCCCGUGUCCAGCUGUUCAUCUCUAUUGCAGACACUAUGGAGAUGUUUGGACUGCAGUAUAAUGAGCAUGGUUGCCCCCAGUUCCUGUGGACUGGGACCAGCACAGGACCAAGACUGCCCGAUCUCCUCCAGAGCAGUGCAUCCACUGCACAGUCAUCGUAAUGGCACCACUCAAACUGUUCCAGUUUCCUCCACGCUCUCCUGCGAAUUCUGCUGUCUGACGUGAAUCCAGCACAACUCCCGGGCCUCAGACACAUCCAGUCACUUCCACCUCCAGGCAUACACCUGCGUUUCAUACUCCAGGCCAACAGGUGGCGGUAAUGCACCAAAUAUAUGGAUACAAACCGCUGUGAGUGCAUCAAGAAGAAGAAGGAGACCGCAGCUACGCCUGCAGCCUGCUCCGUCUGAGACGAACCAUGUCGGCUGUCUCUGUCCCUGAAGUCCUCACCCACUCCACGUGUGACCACAGGAUCAUGAGGUGCCUGGCCCCCCGUGAAGACAGUUAAAGAGGAAAAGGACUGAACUGAGAGAACUUCACAUAUUCCAAAAUACGUGUCAAUAUUUUUGUUAUGUUUCCGGUGUUAACAGGUUACGCUUGUGCAUGCUUGAUCGCAACGUUUGGCAGGAGGGAAAAGAAAAUCCACCGCGGAUGAAGAGAACCAGCCUGUGUUUCAUGUGUGAACACUCAGCAGAGGGUAGGAAGCUCAACACAUUAAAAAGACACUUGGGAACAUUACACCCCACUCACGUCAAUACGCCACAUGAGUUCUCUCAGGAAACAUCCAGCACUAGCAGCAACACAGAUCUUUAAUAUACUUUUUGGAGUUAGAUUUAUUAAUUCAAUUCUAAUUAUUAGGUCUGAUGCUGAACAAUUGUUUAUGAAGUUGGCCUAUCUUAGUGACAUAUUUGGAAAGUUGAAUGAAUUAAAUGUUGAACAGAUCAGGUUUCACUGAAGCUGAGAUGUGGGUCAGGACACCUGAUCAAGAAUAUUGAUUCCUUUGAGAAUCUGAGUGAACCCUGACCUCCGCCUUCGUGACAGGCAAGAUCUACCUAUUGAGGCGUUGAGAGGAAACGACUGAGGCUUUUUAUUUGGCCUAAUUGUAAUUGAAUGAAAUCAAAACACUUUGGUCCAGCUUAUAAAUUGAUGUGACCAGGAACACAUCAUUGAAGUGCAAUAUAAAAAGUAGAUUGUUAACCGCACACAAUAUGAACAAGAACAAACACAUUUGCAAUGAGCAGCUGGAUGAACUACCAAAAUAAAUGUUGUUUAUCAACUGAAGUUACAGCACAAGACUGACAACAUGAUCAGUCAGUGCAACUCAUGUAAGUUCAUCUUUCAUCGUAAUGCCAUCAAGCCAUGUGACUCCAGUCAGUGCUCUGUCUGUGACUGAACUCUGUCUGUGAGCUUGUAGUUAGUUCAUAAUCACAGACAGACAGUCUGAGGCCGUCUGUGAGCCGUCUGUCAGUAAUCCAGCUCCUGGUCUUUGAUUUGGUGAUUUUCUCUAAUUCACUGAAGAGUUGUUCGGGGCAAAUUUGGGAUUCAUGAAAGUUUUCUCCUCUGGGAUUGGUUCUGAACUCGGAGCGUUGGUGAUUACACUCACAUCAACUCUACAGACAUCCUCAGAUUUAAAUAAUUAUAAUAAUAAAUAUGAGAAUCACCAUUUGUGACUCCUGCAUCUAUGCUUUUUCAAAUAGAAUAAAUACAACUACAAUCACUUUCAAGUAAACCAGAUUAGUCCAUCAGACAAAAAAAAGCUCAACAUUGAGGAACAGCAGAAAAGCCGAACUGACGGAGGUAGGACCUGGCAAGUCACCAAGAAUCUAGGCUGUCGCGCGUGCCAAGUCGUAACCUGUUAAUGCCGUAACGUAAACAUUCACAAGAAGGUACAGGCAUUUCAACAUUUAUUUAUUCAUGACUUAGUUUUAUGACUUUGUACUUUGAACUUGUGUAAUAUGUGAAGUUAUCAAUAAAGGUCUUUAUGCAUUUCA